rnacentral:rRNA from 1 species
GACGCUGGCGGCAGGCCUAACACAUGCAAGUCGAGCGGAUGACGGGAGCUUGCUCCUUGAUUCAGCGGCGGACGGGUGAGUAAUGCCUAGGAAUCUGCCUGGUAGUGGGGGACAACGUUUCGAAAGGAACGCUAAUACCGCAUACGUCCUACGGGAGAAAGCAGGGGACCUUCGGGCCUUGCGCUAUCAGAUGAGCCUAGGUCGGAUUAGCUAGUUGGUGGGGUAAUGGCUCACCAAGGCGACGAUCCGUAACUGGUCUGAGAGGAUGAUCAGUCACACUGGAACUGAGACACGGUCCAGACUCCUACGGGAGGCAGCAGUGGGGAAUAUUGGACAAUGGGCGAAAGCCUGAUCCAGCCAUGCCGCGUGUGUGAAGAAGGUCUUCGGAUUGUAAAGCACUUUAAGUUGGGAGGAAGGGCAUUAACCUAAUACGUUAGUGUUUUGACGUUACCGACAGAAUAAGCACCGGCUAACUCUGUGCCAGCAGCCGCGGUAAUACAGAGGGUGCAAGCGUUAAUCGGAAUUACUGGGCGUAAAGCGCGCGUAGGUGGUUUGUUAAGUUGGAUGUGAAAGCCCCGGGCUCAACCUGGGAACUGCAUCCAAAACUGGCAAGCUAGAGUACGGUAGAGGGUGGUGGAAUUUCCUGUGUAGCGGUGAAAUGCGUAGAUAUAGGAAGGAACACCAGUGGCGAAGGCGACCACCUGGACUGAUACUGACACUGAGGUGCGAAAGCGUGGGGAGCAAACAGGAUUAGAUACCCUGGUAGUCCACGCCGUAAACGAUGUCAACUAGCCGUUGGAAUCCUUGAGAUUUUAGUGGCGCAGCUAAC